rnacentral:tRNA from 1 species
GUUCCCAUCGUCUAGCUCGGUCAGGACAUCGCCCUUUCAAGGCGGUAACACGGGUUCAAAUCCCGUUGGGAACG